AAGGCGAAACCUGAAAAGCCUAUGAAACAGAGUAGGGA
rfam:Runella slithyformis DSM 19594, complete genome.